UACGUAGGGGGCAAGCGUUGUCCGGAAUCAUUGGGCGUAAAGAGCGUGUAGGCGGCCCGGUAAGUCCGUUGUGAAAGUCGAGGGCUCAACCCUCGAAUGCCGGCGGAUACUGCCGGGCUAGAAUCCGGAAGAGGCGAGUGGAAUUCCUGGUGUAGCGGUGAAAUGCGCAGAUAUCAGGAGGAACACCAAUGGCGAAGGCAGCUCGCUGGGACGGUAUUGACGCUGAGACGCGAAAGCGUGGGGAGCAAACGGG
rnacentral:rRNA from 1 species